GAUGAAGAACGCAGCGAAAUGCGAUAAGUAGUGUGAAUUGCAGAAUUCAGUGAAUCAUCGAAUCUUUGAACGCACAUUGCGCCCCAUGGUAUUCCGUGGGGCAUGCUUGUUCGAGCGUCAUUUACCCCCUCAAGCUCCGCUUGGUGUUGGGCGUCUGUCCCGCUUCGCGCGCGGACUCGCCCCAAAGGUAUUGGCAGCGGUCGUGCCAGCUUCUCGCGCAGCACAUUGCGCUUCUCGAGGCACCGGUGGGCCCGCGUCCAUCAAGCUCACCCCCCCAGUUUGACCUCGGAUCAGGUAGGGAUACCCGCUGAACUUAAGCAUAUCAAUAAGCGGAGGA
rnacentral:misc_RNA from 1 species